rnacentral:rRNA from 1 species
GAUGAACGCUGGCGGCGUGCUUAACACAUGCAAGUCGAACGGAAAGGCCCCUGCUUGCAGGGGUACUCGAGUGGCGAACGGGUGAGUAACACGUGGGUGAUCUGCCCUGCACUUCGGGAUAAGCCUGGGAAACUGGGUCUAAUACCGGAUAGGACCACAUUUUGGAUGGUGUGUUGGAAAGUUUUUCGGUGUGGGAUGAGCUCGCGGCCUAUCAGCUUGUUGGUGGGGUAAUGGCCUACCAAGGCGUCGACGGGUAGCCGGCCUGAGAGGGUGUACGGCCACAUUGGGACUGAGAUACGGCCCAGACUCCUACGGGAGGCAGCAGUGGGGAAUAUUGCACAAUGGGCGCAAGCCUGAUGCAGCGACGCCGCGUGGGGGAUGACGGCCUUCGGGUUGUAAACUCCUUUCGCUAGGGACGAAGCGCAAGUGACGGUACCUGGAGAAGAAGCACCGGCUAACUACGUG